rnacentral:rRNA from 1 species
CCUUGUACACACCGCCCGUCACACCAUGGGAGUGGGUUGCUCCAGAAGUAGGUAGCUUAACCUUCGGGGGGCGCUUACCACGGAGUGAUUCAUGACUGGGGUGAAGUCGUAACAAGGUAGCCCUAGGGGAACCUGGGGCUGGAUCACCUCCUUAACGAUUUAGAACAGAUUUGUUCGAAGUGUCCACACAG